rfam:Betaproteobacteria bacterium RIFCSPLOWO2_02_64_14 rifcsplowo2_02_sub10_scaffold_1979, whole genome shotgun sequence.
UCGGGUCAAGGCAGACAUCCGGUUCACCCAAGGCAUUUCGCCCAAGCUCUGC